rnacentral:miRNA from 1 species
CACAUAUUUUACAUAUAUAUAUAUAUGUGUGUGUGUGUGUGUGUGUGUGUGUGUAUACACAUAUAACACAAACAUAUAUAUGUAAAAAAUAUAUAU